GACGAACGCUGGCGGCGUGCCUAAUACAUGCAAGUCGAGCGGAGUUAUGAUGGAGCUUGCUCCGGAUUAACUUAGCGGCGGACGGGUGAGUAACACGUAGGCAACCUACCUCUUUGACUGGGAUAACUACCGGAAACGGUAGCUAAUACCGGAUAAUUUCUUUCUUCUCCUGAGGAGAGAAUGAAAGGCGGAGCAAUCUGCUGCUUGGGGAUGGGCCUGCGGCGCAUUAGCUAGUUGGUGGGGUAACGGCCCACCAAGGCGACGAUGCGUAGCCGACCUGAGAGGGUGAACGGCCACACUGGGACUGAGACACGGCCCAG
rnacentral:rRNA from 1 species